rnacentral:rRNA from 1 species
GACGAACGCUGGCGGCGUGCUUAACACAUGCAAGUCGAACGGAAAGGCCCUGCUUUUGUGGGGUGCUCGAGUGGCGAACGGGUGAGUAACACGUGUGUAACCUGCCCUUCACUUUCGGAUAACUUCAGGAAACUGGGGCUAAUACCGGAUAGGAGCCCCUGCUGCAUGGUGGGGGUUGGAAAGUUUCGGCGGGUGGGGAUGGACUGGCGGCUUAUCAGCUCGUUGGUGGGGUAGUGGCUUACCAAGGCUUUGACGGGUAGCCGGCCUGAGAGGGUGACCGGGCACAAUGGGACUGAGAUACGGCCCAGACGCCAACGGGAGGCAGCAGUGGGGAAUAUUGCACAAUGGGCGGAAGCCUGAUGCAGCAACGCCGCGUGCGGGAUGACGGCCUUCGGGUUGUAAACCGCUUUCGCCUGUGACGAAGCGUGAGUGACGGUAAUGGGUAAAGAAGCACCGGCUAACUACGUG